rnacentral:rRNA from 1 species
GAUGAACGCUGGCGGCGUGCCUAAUACAUGCAAGUCGAGCGAACAGACGAGGAGCUUGCUCCUCUGACGUUAGCGGCGGACGGGUGAGUAACACGUGGAUAACCUACCUAUAAGACUGGGAUAACUUCGGGAAACCGGAGCUAAUACCGGAUAAUAUAUUGAACCGCAUGGUUCAAUAGUGAAAGACGGUUUUGCUGUCACUUAUAGAUGGAUCCGCGCCGCAUUAGCUAGUUGGUAAGGUAACGGCUUACCAAGGCAACGAUGCGUAGCCGACCUGAGAGGGUGAUCGGCCACACUGGAACUGAGACACGGUCCAGACUCCUACGGGAGGCAGCAGUAGGGAAUCUUCCGCAAUGGGCGAAAGCCUGACGGAGCAACGCCGCGUGAGUGAUGAAGGUCUUCGGAUCGUAACUCUGUUAUUAGGGAAGAACAAAUGUGUAAGUAACUAUGCACGUCUUGACGGUACCUAAUCAGAAAGCCACGGCUAACUACGUG